rnacentral:rRNA from 1 species
UUCCGGUUGAUCCUGCCGGAGGCUACCGCUAUUGGAGUUCGAUUAAGCCAUGCGAGUCGAGAGUCUUAGGGACUCGGCGUACCGCUCAGUAACACGUGGGUAACCUGCCCUAUGCUGGGGAAUAACCUCGAGAAAUUGAGAAUAAUGCCCCAUAGUUCACCACACCUGGAACGGUGGGUGGAUGAAAGCUCCGGCGGCAUAGGAUGGGCCUGCGGCGUAUCAGGUUGUAGGGGGUGUAAUGUACCCUCUAGCCAUCUACGCGUACGGGUGUUGAGAGACAUCGCCCGGAGAUGGAUUCUGAGACACGAAUCCAGACCCUACGGGGUGCAGCAGGCGCGAAAACUUGGCAAUGCGAGCAAUCGUGACCAGGGAACUCCAAGUGCAUCGGGUAAGACCGAUGCUUUUCUUGACUCUUCAAAGGUCUUGGAAUAAGGGGUGGGUAAGGACGGUGCCAGCCGCCGCGGUAAUACCGGCGCCUCAAGUGGUAGUCGCUUUUAUUGGGCCUAAAACGUCCGUAGCCGGUUUGGUACAUUCGUGGGUAAAUCAAGACGCUCAACGUCUUGAAUUCUGCGAGCACGGCCAGACUUGGGACCGGGUGAGGUGUGGGGUACUCUCAGGGUAGGGGUAAAAUCCUGUCAUCCUGAGAGGACCACCUGUUGCGAAGGCGCCACACUAGAACGGAUCCGACGGUCAGGGACGAAGC